rnacentral:rRNA from 1 species
UUUAACUGAAGAGUUUGAUCAUGGCUCAGAUUGAACGCUGGCGGCAGGCUUAACACAUGCAAGUCGAGCGGGGGAAGGUAGCUUGCUACUGGACCUAGCGGCGGACGGGUGAGUAAUGCUUAGGAAUCUGCCUAUUAGUGGGGGACAACAUCUCGAAAGGGAUGCUAAUACCGCAUACGUCCUACGGGAGAAAGCAGGGGAUCUUCGGACCUUGCGCUAAUAGAUGAGCCUAAGUCGGAUUAGCUAGUUGGUGGGGUAAAGGCCUACCAAGGCGACGAUCUGUAGCGGGUCUGAGAGGAUGAUCCGCCACACUGGGACUGAGACACGGCCCAGACUCCUACGGGAGGCAGCAGUGGGGAAUAUUGGACAAUGGGGGGAACCCUGAUCCAGCCAUGCCGCGUGUGUGAAGAAGGCCUUAUGGUUGUAAAGCACUUUAAGCGAGGAGGAGGCUACUUUAGUUAAUACCUAGAGAUAGUGGACGUUACUCGCAGAAUAAGCACCGGCUAACUCUGUGCCAGCAGCCGCGGUAAUACAGAGGGUGCGAGCGUUAAUCGGAUUUACUGGGCGUAAAGCGUGCGUAGGCGGCUUAUUAAGUCGGAUGUGAAAUCCCCGAGCUUAACUUGGGAAUUGCAUUCGAUACUGGUGAGCUAGAGUAUGGGAGAGGAUGGUAGAAUUCCAGGUGUAGCGGUGAAAUGCGUAGAGAUCUGGAGGAAUACCGAUGGCGAAGGCAGCCAUCUGGCCUAAUACUGACGCUGAG